rnacentral:miRNA from 1 species
CCUGUCCCCGGGCAUUCCGA